rnacentral:misc_RNA from 1 species
UUUUGGUAUGUAUCUAUACAUGUAUUUGUUAAUUUUUAAAAUUUAUUAUCUUUUCUUUUUUUUUACGUUUUUUUUUUUUUUUUUCUUGUUCUUAGUAAAUCUUCUUGCACUGUUUGCCUCGCUAUAUUAAACACUUACUCAUGACCAUGGGUUGACUGGAAGAAAUCUCUUUCAGAGAUAAGUCCACCUUUGCCAUAAAUAUUAUUCCUAUGUUGUUUUUACAUGUAUUUUUUGAGUGCAAUAAAGUAUAUAAUAAUAAU